AGAGUUUGAUCCUGGCUCAGAACGAACGCUGGCGGCGUGGAUUAGGCAUGCAAGUCGAACGAUAUCCUGGGCAUCCAAGUAGCAAUAUGAGGAUGUCCUGGUGACAGUGGCGAAAGGGUGAGUAACACGCGGGUAAUCUGCCCUCAAGUUGGGGAUAGCUCUGCGAAAGCGGAAUUAAUACCGAAUGUGGUCGUCCUUCACAUGAAGGAUUAUCCAAAGCCGGGGACCGCAAGGCCUGGCGCUUGAGGAUGAGCCCACGUCCUAUCAGCUUGUUGGUGAGGUGACGGCUUACCAAGGCUAUGACGGGUAGCUGGUCUGAGAGGAUGGUCAGCCACACUGGGACUGAGACACUGCCCAGACUCCUACGGGAGGCUGCAGUCGAGGAUCAUUCGCAAUGCGCGAAAGCGUGACGGUGCGACGCCGCGUGCAGGAUGAAGGCCUUCGGGUCGUAAACUGCUGUCAUGAGGGAACAAUGUUCGGGAUGCCAACACCAUCUCGGAGUGAUAGUACCUCAAGAGGAAGCCACGGC
rnacentral:rRNA from 1 species